UACGUAGGGUGCGAGCGUUAAUCGGAAUUACUGGGCGUAAAGCGUGCGCAGGCGGUUUUGUAAGCCAGAUGUGAAAUCCCCGGGCUCAACCUGGGAAUUGCGCUCGAGACUGGUCUGCUUGAGUUCGGGAGAGGAGAGUGGAAUUCCCAGUGUAGAGGUGAAAUUCGUAGAUAUUGGGAAGAACACCGGUGGCGAAGGCGGAUCUCUGGGCCUGUUCUGACGCUGAGGCGCGAAAGCUAGGGGAGCGAACAGG
rnacentral:rRNA from 1 species